ACGCAUCUGUGCAUGCAGCAUAUCAAUAAGCGGAGGAAAAGAAACUAACAAGGAUUCCCUUAGUAACGGCGAGUGAAGCGGGAAGAGCUCAAAUUUGAAAUCUUCAAGGUUUUACCUUGACGAAUUGUAGUUUAAAGAAGUGUUUUCUGUUGAAGUUUUGGUAAAAGUUCUUUGGAAUAGGACAUCAUAGAGGGUGAGAAUCCCGUAUUUGACCAUUAUUUUCAGCUGUGUGAUACACUUUCAAAGAGUCGGAUUGUUUGGGAAUGCAGUCCAAAAUGGGUGGUAAAUUUCAUCUAAAGCUAAAUAUUGGCGAGAGACCGAUAGCGAACAAGUACCGUGAGGGAAAGGAUGAAAAGAACUUUGAAAAGAGAGUUAAACAGUACGUGAAAUUGUCAAAAGGGAAGCGUUUGACACCAGUGUUGUUUUCUCGAAAAUCAAUUAAAAAGAGUUAGAUUUUGUUGUGUAUUGACCUUAACAGCUUGCAUUUCAAUUUUCUUGCUUUUUUUAAUGCACUUUUCGUUUAACAAGUCAACAUCAGUUUCUUUUGUUGUAAAAAGGUCAUUGGAAGGUGGCUUUCUUUUCGGAGAAAGUGUUUAUAGCCUUUGACUCCUGCAAUCGGAGAGACUGAGGUCUGCAGCGUAGAUCCUUCGGGGUUAGAUACAUUUGUGCUAAGUUAUAGCUUUUUAUAGACAACUUGUUGACUAUGAUUAGUCUUGUAGCUUACUCGCUUAUGCUAUUUUACCUACGCUUAGGAUGUUGACGCGCGUGUGUGCGUG
rnacentral:rRNA from 1 species